rnacentral:rRNA from 1 species
ACAAACCAGUUAGGUGGAUCCCUCGGCUUGUG